GGGGCUGGGGCUCAGCGGUAGAGCACUUGCCUCGUGUGUGAGAGGCACUGGGUUCGAUACCCAGCACCA
rnacentral:tRNA from 1 species